UUAAAGCUCAUCCAAUUCCAAUCCCCUGCCACUAGGACAGGUUGCCCCAGGCCCCUGGGCCUGAACAUAACUAUCCAAAGCAAUUCCUGCUGCAGCACCAGGCUGGAAGGGUGACAGAGGGAAAACAAUUCAUUUGAGUCACCUGAACUGAUUUUCAGGCAGGUCAGGCUUAACAGGGCUAGAGAAGAAGUGAUUUGUAAUGUUUGGAGAAAUGAAAUGGUAAUACAUCAGAUGCUGUUUCAUCCUGUAAGAUACUUAUUGCUGCUUUUUAAAUGAAUGUCUAGGUACCAAUAUUUGGGGGAGAUGCUGGACACAGCAUGUAUGGAGGUUUUGCAAUUUCUGGCUCCAAUUUACUCCAGCAAGAAAGUAAAAGGAGUAUUUGUUGGCAAAAAUAAAACCACCUCCUUGAUGUAAAAUACCCUGUCAGGAUCCCACCACUGUUACUCACUGCUAGAGGAAGGAUUUGUUCACGUCUGUGGGUUAGUCCAGAGAAAAAGAUGCUCUGAGCAGCAGAGACCCUCCUUUAGCUCAGUGCGCAUGGCAUAAAGCCCCAUGUUGAAGCCCCAUGGUUAGGGUUUAUUAUUAUUACCAUGGGAUUUUGUUUUACUGCACCUAUUAAAAACUGAGACCACAGCUCUCAGUAGGA